rnacentral:rRNA from 1 species
CCUACGAGGGGCAGCAGUGGGGAAUAUUGCACAAUGGGGGAAACCCUGAUGCAGCGACGCCGCGUGAGCGAUGAAGUAUUUCGGUAUGUAAAGCUCUAUCAGCAGGGAAGAAAAUGACGGUACCUGACUAAGAAGCCCCAGCUAACUACGUGCCAGCAGCCGCUGUAAUACGUAGGGGGCAAGCGUGAUCCGGAUGUACUGGGUGUAAAGGGAGCGUAGACGUCGAUGCAAGCCAGAUGUGAAAGCCCGGGGCUCAACCCCUGGACUGCAUUUGUAACUGUAUAGCUGGAGUGUCGGAGAGGCAGGCGGAAUUCCUAGUGUAGCGGUGAAAUGCGUAGAUAUUAGGAGGAACACCAGUGGCGAAGGCGGCCUGCUGGACGAUGACUGACGUUGAGGCUCGAAAGCGUGGGGAGCAAACAGGAUUAGAUACCCCAGUAGUC